ACAAAAAAAAAAAAACAGAAAAAAAAAAACAAUCGCCUCCCACUGUGACACUGCCCCGCUUCACAUACUACCCAAAAUACAUACCUCCAUGUUGUACACGAAAUGUAGGGGCGACACUUUACAGCUGUUGGCUCACAUGUGUUAGUGAACUUUAUUUUGGACAACUUUUGUUUUUGCGGGUCUCCUUUUUGUCCUCAGGGCUUCCGAACGAUUUAACUGCCGUUGUAGUUCCGGCCUUUGGCCUGGCAUUUUGCAUGAAGCGCAGGCGUUUUUAAUCUGAAGCGCCAACCCCAGGCCAGGUGCUAGCUUAAGCAAAGCUAGCAACUCAACAUCACCAGUUUUGUUGUUGCUCUUAGGAAUAAAACAAAAAAAAAUAUUUGCAAAAAAUAUUAUCUCGUAGUGAUGUUUUCUGCGGAGGGCCAUAAAUGACAGCUACUGUCUACCUUCCACUCACCACCGCGUCUUUGCGGAGUCGCCUCUCAUUCAGGGUUUAAGCUACUAACAAGUUAGCAGCUGCGGCUAACAAGCGGAGCCAGCGCGGAUUCGCAACAUCACUGUGUUGGAAACCACAGGAAUAACAAGUCGUCUAAAUGGACCACAUGUCCAUAAUAACCCAAGUCGCUAACCCAAAGGAGGAGGAAAUUAUAUCUUUUAACCAGGAAAAAGCAUCACAACCGAAAAGCAGCCCCAAGAAGCAGAGGCACCGAAGCAUCCUCGGCAAAUACUUCUGCUGCUUCCGCAGAUACAAUGUGGAACCGCCGCCCACGAACGCCAACAUCGGCUCUCUGCCUGGACCCGUCGAGGAGAACGGAUCACCUCCCAAACCACCAGCUAAAUACCUCCUACCUGAGAUAAAAAUAUCCGACUAUGGGAAAAAGUGUGUGGUAAUUGACUUGGAUGAAACGCUCGUCCACAGUUCUUUCAAGCCCAUCAGCAAUGCGGAUUUUAUUGUUCCAGUGGAGAUUGAUGGCACCGUUUAUCAGGUGUAUGUGCUAAAGCGACCCCAUGUGGAUAUCUUUCUUCAAAAGAUGGGGGAGAUGUUUGAAUGUGUGCUGUUUACCGCCAGUCUGGCCAAGUAUGCUGACCCUGUGGCAGACCUGCUAGACCAGUGGGGUGUGUUUCAAGCGCGACUCUUUCGGGAAUCCUGUGUCUUUCACAGAGGAAACUAUGUCAAAGACCUCAGCCGGCUAGGACGAGAGCUCAGCAAUGUCAUCAUCAUCGACAAUUCACCUGCCUCCUAUAUUUUUCACCCGGAAAAUGCUGUUCCCGUCCAAUCCUGGUUUGACGACAUGAAUGACACAGAGCUCCUGGACCUGCUGCCUUUCUUUGAGGGACUUAGCAAAGAAGAAGAGGUUUACGGAGUCCUGCAGAAUCUGAGAAGCAGGUAGCAGGACAAAACGAGACAAUCCAACAACAGCUCAGAGUGCCUGUGCUUUUUCGACCUCGUCAAUGUCGGUGUAUCUCCAAAACACAACACAACCAACUUACUACGGAGUCUCACUGUGGAAUACCUUAACCCCCCUGCCUCAGCUCGCAACUGCUGGUUAUGGGCUUCCCUCUGCAUGCUGUUAGAAAAUUAAAAAAAACCCAAACAUUAUCCCUGGAUCACC